ACAAAAUCCAAAGUCAAUGACAUUGUGUACAAUUGGCCAUCAGUAAAAAUAAUUUGACAGUAGGUUGAACAACAAGAAAAGCUAGCUAUCCAGUCAUGUCAUUGUCCCCAAAACAAUAUAAGAACUUUUACAAACAAUUUUAUCCGUGAUGUGUAAUGUUACUGUCGGUCGCAGCCUGAAGUAGCGUUCUGAACGGGGAACAGGAUGUGAGAUACUGUUAUUCGCUGUGAAACAAGGUCAGUCCAGAGGGGCAGUAUAACUCACUUCAUACGGCUUGUGUUUUAGCGCCAUCCUGUGGUGUUCUGAGGACGAGUUGGAAAUAACAGAUCCGCAUUUCCUUUUUGUUUUAAUGUAGCACAUUCAUUUAGUACAGUAAAC